rnacentral:rRNA from 1 species
GACGAACGCUGGCGGCGUGCUUAACACAUGCAAGUCGAACGGAAAGGCCCUGCUUUUGUGGGGGGCUCGAGUGGCGAACGGGUGAGAAACACGUGAGUAACCUGCCCUUGACUGUGGGAUAACUUCAGGAAACUGGGGCUAAUACCGGAUAGGAGCUCCUGCUGCAUGGUGGGGGUUGGAAAGUUUCGGGGGGUGGGGAUGGACUCGCGGCUUUUCAGCUUGUUGGUGGGGUAGUGGCUUAGCAAGGCUUUGACGGGUAGCCGGCCCGGGAGGGUGACCGGCCCCAUUGGGACUGGGGACCGGCCCGGGGCUCAUCGGGGGGCAGGGGGGGGGAACUUUGCCAAAUGGGGGGGAGGCUGGAGGAACCCCCCCGGGGGGGGGAUGGCGGGCUUCGGGUUAGAAACCCCUUUCGCCUGUGACCAAGGGGGAGGGGCGGAAAUGGGAAAAAAAGCCCCGGCAAACUACG